GGGGCAUUAGCUCAAUUGGUAGAGCGUCUGCAUGGCAUGCAGAAGGUCAGCGGUUCGAUUCCGCUAUGCUCCACCA
rnacentral:tRNA from 1 species